CUAUGCGACCGCAUAGAUGGUUACACUAUGCGGUCGCAUAGACUAACCAACUAUGAAGUCUUUACAUUUUGGUCCCUGAACUUUCCUUGUUGCUUCUCUUGACUUCUUUCUUCGAUUUCUUCAUCUUUUCAACAAAUGUUAUCCUCCAAUUGAUGAUUGACACCAUCGAAUCUCUUGCCACUCAUUCGGCUCAUCUUUUGAGUAUUUGCGCUUUAGUCCUCCAACUUUUAACUAUCUUCAUUUCAGUCCCUCUUCGAUUCUUUGUUCCUCCACUUAUUUUGCGUUUUCCUUGAGCUCAUACUCGGCAUGUUUUUACUCUCUUUUUGCAUUUAGCUCAACUUCUCAAUAUUUGAACCUUUGGUCCUCGAACUAUCAAUUUGUUGCAUUUUGGUCCUUCUUCGGCUCUUUUCUCCUGAAUUCCACAAUUUCCAUUGAAUUACCUACAAUGCACGAAUUUAACUAGAUUAAGCCACAAUUUAACCAUUUUAUCCAUGUUUAAGUCAUGUUUGUGAACCAAAUCAGUGUGUAAAAACAUACUUAUCAAUAACUUCGGGUUUGUUUGUUUCUGGCGAAUUGCUAGUCUAAAUCGAAUGGAAUCGAGCUAAUGAAAAGAUGAUUUUGAACUCAUGAUAACUUUGGGUUUGUUCAUUUUUGAAGAAUUGCUAGUCAAAUUCGAUUGGAAUCAAACCAAUGAAAAGUAGCUUUUGAUUUCAUGAUAACUUUGGGUUUGUUCGUUUUUGGUGAAUUGCUGGUCUAAUUCGAUUGGAAUCGAGCCAAAGAACAGUGGUUUUUCAUUUCAUGAUAACUUCGAGUUUUGUUCAUUUUUGGCGAGUUGCUAGUCUAAAUCGAUGGAAUCGAGCUAAUGAAAAGUUGAUUUUGAAUUCAUGAUAACUUCGGGUUUGUUCAUUUUUCGCGAAUUGCUGUCUAAUUCAAUUGGAAUCGAGAUAAUAAAAAGUGGUUUUUCAUUUCAUGAUAACUUUGGGUUUGUUCGUUUUUUAGCGAACUGCUAGUCUAAUUCGAUUGGAAUCGAGCCAAUGAAAAGGGGUUUGUCAUUUCGUGAUAACUUCGGGUUUGUUAAUUUUUGGCGAAUUGCUAGUCCAAUUCGAUUGGAAUCGAGCAAUGAAAUGUGGCUUUUUAUUUCAUGAUAACUUCGGGUUUGUUCAUUUUUGGCGAAUUGCUAGUCUAAUUCUAUUGGAAUCGAGCCAAAGAAAAGUCGUUUUUCAUUUCAUCGUAACUUCGGGUUUGUUCGUUUUUGGCGAAUUGCUAGUGUGAAUCGAUUGGAAUCGAGCCAAUGAAAAGUGGCUUUUGAUUUCUUGAUAAAUUCGGGUUUGUUCGUUUUUGGCGAAUUGCUAGUCCAAUUCGAUUGGAAUGGAGCCAAUGAAAAGUAACUUUUGAUUUCAUGAUAACUUUGGGUUUGUUCGUUUUUUAAGAAUUGCUGGUCUAAUUCGAUUGGAAUCGAGCCAAAGAACAGUGGUUUUUCAUUUCAUGAUUACUUCGGCUUUGUUCAUUUUUGGUGAAUUGCUAGUCUAAAUCGAUUGGAAUCGAGCUAAUGAAAGGUUGAUUUUGAUUUCAUGAUAACUUCGGGUUUGUUAAUUUUUUGCGAAUUGCUAGUCUAAUUCGAUUGGAAUUGAGCCAAUGAAAAGUGGUUUUUCAUUACAUGAUAACUUCAAGUUUGUUUACUUUUGGUCAAUUUCUAUCGUAAAUCGAUUGGAAUCGAGCCAAUGAAAAGUUGAUUUUGAUUUCACGAUAACUUCGAAUUUUUUCAUUUUUGGCGAAUUGCUAGUUUAAUUCAAUUGGAAUCGAGCAAAUGAAAAAAGGAUUUUCAUUUCAUGAUAACUUCGGGUUUGUUCGUUUUUGAUGAAUUGCUAGUCUAAUUCUAUUGGAAUCGAGCUAAUGAAAAGAUAAUUUUGAAUUCAUUAUAACUUCGGGUUUGUUCCUUUUUGGCGAAUUGCUAGUCCAAUUCGAUUGAAAUUGAGGCAAUGAAAAGUAGCUUUUGAUUUCAUGAUAACUUUGGGCUGGUUCAUUUUUGGCGAAUUGCUAGUCUAAUUCGAUUGGAAUCGAGCCAAAGAACAAUGGUUUUUCAUUUCAUGAUAACUUCGGGUUUGUUCAUUUUGGCAAAUUGCUGGUCUAAAUUGAUUGGAAUCGAGCUAAUGAAAAGUUGAUUUUGAUUUCAUGAUAACUUCGGGUCUGUUAAUUUUUGGCGAAUUGCUAGUCUAAUUCGAUUGGAAUCGAGCCAAAGAAAAGUGGUUUUUCAUUUAAUGAUAACUUCGGAUUUGUUCAUUUUUGACGAAUUGCUAGUCUAAUUCGAUUGGAAUUGAGCUAAAGAAAAGUGGUUUUUCAUUUCAUGAUAACUGUUCACAGAAUAUUUCUUUCAAUUUUAAAACCCACCGCAAGUGUACGGUUCGUUAACAAGUAGUAAAAUGGACUAUGAGUCCAAGAAUCGUUCUCACGAGGAUUGAAUUAGCUCUAAUUAGACUAAUGUGACUUUAACCGACUCUAGUUGAAUGAAAAUUUGGUUUAAAUGUGGAAACCCCUAAUUGUGGGAGAAAUCCCCAAUUUGAAACCCUAAUUUUGAAAGAAAACCCUAAUUUCGAAAUUGGAUGCCCUAGUUUCGAAAUUUCACUAAUUGAAUGACUCACAAACUCAAUUAAAAUGUAAAUACACAAUUUUGGAAGUUAAUGUAUAGAAAUAAAUUGAAAUGCAAUCAUUAGGAUCUCGAAUCCCCAAUUGACUAUUAAAAACCCUAAUUUCACAAAUUCAACGAAUCGAUGGAAAAAUGCCAAUUCAAUAUUCCUAAACCUAUCCAAUAUAGUCUCUCGAUAUAUAUUGAAUCUACUCUUGCACACCACCAGCCUAUAUUUCUAUGGAUGAUGCAAAUAUACAAGAAUGCAUGAAUUUUUAUGAACACCUUAUGAAUUGCAAAAAGCAUAGGGGUAUAUUUCUAUCCCCUAUCGAACCCUAUGUUAAUUUAUAUUAUAUCGAAUAUAUUCCCCUUCUUUCGAAUGCAAAGAAUAAAUCAUCUAAACUCACAUAACAUAUGGCCAAUAAUUAUGGAAGCAAUCAAAUCAUAUAAAUCAAACAAUUGUCCAACCGAAACUUUAUAAUGAAUUUAUGAAAAAAAGGAAAUUAAAUAAUCAAAGGUUCAUCGAUUUCCUAAUGAAUAAAAACCCUAGCCUAUGAUCAUAAUUACAGAAUCAAGAAUUAAAACGAAAUUAAAAGAUAUAAAGAAUACACCCUUUUUGACAAGUUAUUUGACACUUGCAUUGUUGUCAAGUGUUAAUUGGAUGGAAAAAUUGUUUGAAAUUUAAACUAUCUAACAGGGUAAUGACAUAUGGUAAAGUGUAAACUAAAGUGUACACCAUAGUGUACAUGUUGCAAGGUACUUACCGAUUGAACCUUGCUAUUUGUACGCUGAUUUUUGACACGUUGUUUGCCACUUGUAUUGUUGUCAAGUGACAAUUGGACCGGAAAACUGUUUGAAAUUUAAACUGUCCAGCAGGGUAUUGUCACGUGGCAAGGUGUAACCUAAAGUGUGUACACCAUAGUGUGCAUGUCGCAAGGUUCUUACCGAUUGAACUUUCCUAGUUGUACACUAUUUUUGACAAGUUGUUUGACACUUGCAUUGUUGUCAAGUGUCAAUUUGAUGGAAGAAUUGUUUAAAAUUAAAACUACUCCAAAUAAUACGUCUGGCCACCAUACGAAUACCUCUAUGCUUCGCAUCAUUCCUCUCAGUCCAUAGAAACCAAAAUAUCAGUAGAGGAAUUAUAAUACGAAUGUGUCCACGGGAAACGUGCUGUCCAGAAUACCGCCAUCUUUGGAACCUCUGUCUGACCCCUUCCCCUGAAGUCAUAGGUAUUUGAAAGAUGUCUCCAAAGUGCUGCCAUACCUGGUCGGAGAUGCUGCUGCUCGUGAAAAUAUGAUUGAUGGUCUCAAUCUCGGAACAACACUGACAACGAGAAGCUAACUGACAUCCAAUUCUCCUCUGAAUAACAACAUCUACUGGAAUGAGAUCCUGCCACAGUCUCCAGCAGAAGAAUGAAAUAGUGGUAGGCAAGAUAGAGCUCCACAGCAGUCAAUAUGAGUCCUGAGGCUGGCGAACCGAACGGACUAGUUGCCAUGCUGAUUUGGUGGUAAAGUCACCAUCCGAAGUAAUUUUCCAAACAAUUCGGUCCAUGGCAUCUGCACAUAAAGGUAUUGCCCCUACCUGUUCCGCCAUGUGAGAAGGAAGGGCCCGUAAUAAUCGUCCAAAAUCCCACCCAGUGUCGUCAAAAAAAUCCUAUACCCUCGCAAAUGUGUGCUGUCUGUGGGGGAAUAGGGAUGCCAAUGUGGACUCGCCCAUCCAACAAUCAUGCCAGAAGAAAAUCUGACCGGUUCCAAGGUGCCAAGCAAUGUGUGGAUCCGUCCGUGGCCCAACUAAUUUCAGCCUCUUCCAGGUAGGGAAAGCUGAACUGGGAACUGCUGCAAGUAAAGGAUGCGUCCCCUUACAAUACUUGCCCAGUAAAAACUGAGCCCAAAGUGACCUCUGAGAUCGGAACAGCCACCAGAGCUUCAUGGAGAAGGUGUCCACCACAUCCUGUAAUCUCCUAAAGCCGAGGCCUCCCUCAUCAGUAGGAAGGCAAAUUGCCUUCCAACUCCUCCAAUGUAGACGUCGUGCUUGAUCCUUAGAAUCCCAUAGGAAUCGGGCGAAGAUGCUCUCAAGUUUCUUCAGCACUGCCUUGGGCGGCUGCAUAAUCUGAAGAAGAUGUAAAGGUAUGGAAGAAAGUACUGACCUCAGUAAUGUAAUACGACCCCCAGGCAAUAGUAAUCGUGAGGCCCAACCUGAUAUCCUAUUCCUUAUCUUCUGGAUAAGGUCAUCAUAAAGGAAGCUCCUCUUAGUCCCCUUGAAUAAGGGGACACCCAAGUAAGUGAAAGGCUGCUGCUCAUGUCUGAAGCCAGUCAAAAUCUCUAGUCGUCUGAUCUGACUAGUGGAUGCCCGUGUGGAUAGUAUAAUACCGCUCUUGUCUCUAUUCACCAAUUGGCCAGAAACUCCUUCAUAGUGCUCCAAGCAAUCUAAGACCCUCCUGAUAGACUGUUUCUGACCGUUGGCAAAGAUGAUCAUAUCAUCAGCAAAUGAGAGAUGUGAGACAAGAGCACUACCUCUAUGUCGAUAACACAUACUGGGAUACUGAUGAAACCUCUGAGUGAGCAAGCGUGAGAAGUAGUCUGCUGCAAUGAUGAACAAGGAUGGGGAGAUAGGAUCACCCUGUCUGAGUCCUCGUGAGGAGGGAAAGAAACCACAUGGGCGGCCAUUUAGGAGUACGGAGAAACGACACUCCGAAACGCACCGCCUGAUUCUGUCAAUCCAGAUCUGAUCAAAUCCAAAUGCCUCCAAUACAGAAUAAAUAAAGCCCCAGUCCAUGCGAUCAUAUGCUUUAGUCAUGUCUAACUUCAGCAUAGUGUUUCCCCCUCGCACUCUAUCAUCCAAAGUGUAGAGAAGCUCCUGAGCCAAUAAAACAUUAUCUCCAAUCAGACGGCCUGGGAUGAAACCACUCUGUGGAGAGGAAAUAAUGCGCGGUAGCAGUGUACUCAACCGAGUGUUCAAAAGCUUAGUAAUAAUCUUAUUGAACACUGUGCAUAAACUGAUUGGUCUGAAUUCAGUCCAUCUGCAAGCACCAUCCUUCUUAGGUAGCAAGACAAUAGAAGUAGCAGCAAAACCCCGUGGAAGAUGCCCACCAUCAAAGAAAUCCAAUACCGCCCUAUAAACAUCCUCCCGAAUGAUAUCCCAGAAAUGCUGGAAAAAUAGGGAUGAGAAGCCAUCCGGACCAGCGACACUGUCAGCAUCAAUACUGAAAACUGCCUCCCGUACCUCAUGAAUCAAAGGGGGGCGAUUUAGUGCCAGAUUAUCGUCCACCGUCAAUAGCCUCGGAAUGACAUCAGAACGAAUGUGGUCCAAGGGUUGUGGAGGAGCAGAUAAGAGAUCCUGGUAGAAAGCAACAGCCGAGGUCUGAAUAUCAGUAGGAGUAGAUAACACUUCCCCCGCUUGUGUCCUGAUAGACCUGAUACGCGAUUUGAUCCUACGCCCCUGAACCAUCGCAUGAAAAUAUCGAGUAUUGUGAUCACCCUCACAUGCCCAACGUGAACCGGCCUUUUGCUUCCAAAAGCCCUCCUCAAUAGACAAGGUCCGGUUCAAAACUACCUAGGCCUGAUGUAGUAAGUUACGGUUCUCAGGUGUCGGAUCUCUAUCAUAUAUUAUCUCAGCCUCAUCAACCCCGACCUCAGUAUCGCGCACCCGCUGGAAAAUAUCUCCAAAUACAUGUCGGUUCCACCAGCGCAGACCCUGUUUCAGCCUGAAGAACUUCUCCCAUAGAGCGGUCAUCCCUGUGAGAUAUGGCCAAUAAUUAUGGAAUCUAUUCAGAUAUCGAAUCUAUUCCCCUUCUUUCGAAUGCAAAGAAUAAAUCAUCUAAACUCACAUAACAUAUGGCCAAUAAUUAUCGAAGCAAUCAAAUCAUAUAAAUCAAACAAUUGUCCAACCGAAACUUUAUACUGAAUUUACGAAAUAAAGGAGAUUAAAUAAUCAAAGGUUCAUCAAUUUCCUAAUGAAUAAAAACCCUAGCCUAUGAUCAUAAUUACAAAAUCAAGAGUUAAAAUGAAAUUAAAAGAUAUAAAGAAUACACCCGUAUGAUAAUCCUUCAAUUUUGUGUGUAAUCAUCAAUUCCUUCUUAAAUCCUUGUGAAAUCAAGCCCAAGAUUGUGUUUCUUGCCUUCAAAUUGAGUGUAUUUCUUCUCCCUGGUCGUUCCUCCCCUCAAUUUGAUGAUUUUGGGUAUUUAUAUCGCGUCAAAAUUAAGUAGGAAAAGAGUUUCAACGAAAACAAAAAACUGCAACGGAGGCCCCCGAAGUAUCACUAUGCGACCGCAUAGAAGGUUUCUAUGCGGUCCCAUAGACCAAUAAAUUUUCCCCCAAAAUUUCCUGCAACCACCUAUGCGACUGCAUAGAUGGUUACACUAUGCAGUCGCAUAGACUAACCAACUAUGAAGUCUUUACAUUUUGGUCCCUGAACUUUCCUUGUUGCUUCUCUUGACUUCUUUCUUCGAUUUCUUCAUCUUUUCAACAAAUUUUAUCCUCCAAUUGAUGAUUGACACCAUCGAAUCUCUUUCCACUCAUUCGGCUCAUCUUUUGAGUAUUUGCGCUUUAGUCCUCCAACUUUUAACUGUCUUCAUUUCAGUCCCUCUUUGAUUCUUU
rnacentral:lncRNA from 1 species